rnacentral:rRNA from 1 species
GACGAACGCUGGCGGCGUGCUUAACACAUGCAAGUCGAACGGAAAGGCCCCUUUGGGGGUACUCGAGUGGCGAACGGGUGAGUAACACGUGAGUAACCUGCCCUUGACUUCGGGAUAACUUCAGGAAACUGGGGCUAAUACCGGAUAGGAAUCCUUGCUGCAUGGGGGGGGUUGGAAAGCUUCGGCGGUUUUGGAUGGACUCGCGGCUUAUCAGCUUGUUGGUGGGGUAGUGGCUUACCAAGGCUUUGACGGGUAGCCGGCCUGAGAGGGCGACCGGCCACAUUGGGACUGAGAUACGGCCCAGACUCCUACGGGAGGCAGCAGUGGGGAAUAUUGCACAAUGGGCGGAAGCCUGAUGCAGCAACGCCGCGUGCGGGAGGACGGCCUUCGGGUUGUAAACCGCUUUCAGCAGGGGCGAAGCUUGUGGUGACGGUACCUGCAGAAGAAGCACCGGCUAACUACGUG